rnacentral:lncRNA from 1 species
GGAAUCACAUGACUGAAGGCGGCCAGUUUUCAGCGCUCUGCAAUAGAAAGAUGAACCGGGUUCAUUACAGAUUUGAUGAUUAUUUUAUGCCAAGUUUUUGGAAAAGUUUCGAUUAUGCUUGCUGCACAUGAUAUGGCGAUUACGAGGAAUGGAAAUACGAGGAGACCGCACGGGCGAAAAGUGCAUACGUCAGCGAAGGGUAACCGGAGCACUUUGCGACACUUAGAUGGACCGGCACGGAGAGAUGCAGUUGCGAGAUGGAAGCGUGUGCAAUAAUCUCGGACAUCUCCCCACGCUCUCCAAACUCCACAGACGCAAGACGUGAGAACGUGUGGAUAGCGGUCUCCAGGUAUCGUUAUCGCAACCCCCAUAUAGUACGUACAACGGUCCUGCUGAGCCUCACAGUCCGUGAUGGCUCGCUCAUGGCACGCGUUACAAAACGGCGCGGCCUUGAAGCGAGUUUCUCCGAGAGAGACCAACCGGUGCCCCGUCGCGAGAAUCCAAGGUACUCCUAUAUGAGCCUGUAUGA